rnacentral:misc_RNA from 1 species
UUUCCGUAGGUGAACCUGCGGAAGGAUCAUUAAAGAGACGUUGCCCUUCGGGGUCGACCUCCCACCCUAUGUUUAUCAUACCUCUGUUGCUUUGGCAGGCCCGUCCUCGGACCACCGGCUCCGGCCGGUCCGUGCCUGCCAGGGGACCUAAAACCCUGUUUGUUAAUGCAGUCUGAGUACUAUAUAAUAGUUAAAACUUUCAACAACGGAUCUCUUGGUUCUG